rnacentral:tRNA from 1 species
GCCCGGCUGGCUCAGUUGGAAGAGCAUGUAACUCUUGAUCUCAGGGUCAUGAGUUCAAGCCCCAUGUUGGGUG